rnacentral:antisense_RNA from 1 species
UAAUAAUAUCUUUAAUAUUAAAUCCAUUUCUUUUGUAGAAAUCGCAAUUAGGAAUUAUUGAAACAAUUUCCUUAAGAAAGUUGUACAUAUGCUUACUAGCUUUAUUAUUAGUUGUGAUAAGUAAUUUGGGUGAUCUUUUUCUAGAAAAAUAAUCUGAAAAUUCAUCAUUUUCCAUUUCUUUAUGCAAUUCUUUAUCAUUUAAUGGAUCAUGAACAAAAGUUUCAUCAAUUUCACGUGUAUUUUCUAUUGUUCUAGGUAUUCCUUUAACUACUUCCUCCCCUCUUUUCUCUUUCUCUCUAUUUUCUCUCCUUCGUUUACUUUUUUCCAACUUUUUUUCUCGUUUAAGUUGAUUGGCAAGUUCUGCUCUUUUGAUUUUAU